AGCGAACGCUGGCGGCAGGCUUAACACAUGCAAGUCGAGCGAGCACUUCGGUGUCAGCGGCAGACGGGUGAGUAACACGUGGGAACGCACCCUUCGGUUCGGAAUAACGCUGGGAAACUAGCGCUAAUACCGGAUACGCCCUUUUGGGGAAAGGUUUACUGCCGAAGGAUCGGCCCGCGUCUGAUUAGCUAGUUGGUGGGGUAAUGGCCUACCAAGGCGACGAUCAGUAGCUGGUCUGAGAGGAUGAUCAGCCACACUGGGACUGAGACACGGCCCAGACUCCUACGGGAGGCAGCAGUGGGGAAUAUUGGACAAUGGGCGCAAGCCUGAUCCAGCCAUGCCGCGUGAGUGAUGAAGGCCUUAGGGUUGUAAAGCUCUUUUGUCCGGGACGAUAAUGACGGUACCGGAAGAAUAAGCCCCGGCUAACUUCGUG
rnacentral:rRNA from 1 species